UUUUCGAACAGUUUAAUUUCGGUGAAAAGUUUAAAGUGGAAUUAGUUCUGGUGAUUGUGAUACUCUUUCUGGAAAAGCACACUCAAAGCUUUGAAGAAAUAGUUUUCCCCUAGAACAAGCAAAGGUUAGGUGAACCCUUUGCGCGUGUCAGGUUGCCCAUUAACGUGGGUGCAAGUCUCGGGGCAGAAAAGCCGUACAUUUCGUCGUUCGACGCUGGGAAUGCUUCGUUGGUCAGACUGGUGGAUGAAAACCACGACGGGGUCGUGACGAACCGUUUCAACCGCCUUAGUCAACUCCAACGACUCGGAGACGCAUCUACUCCGCCCACCCAGUUGACCCCACACGUCCUUUUCGAAGCAAUCCCAGAGCUUGGAGGAAGUUCCGAGCUUUCGAGCAC